UCGGUCUUGGUAUGCGAGUGUUCGGUUCAAACCCCUACGUAUGAACCGAGAACGGUUCGAGACUUCCAUCUCGAACCGAUCCUGAGUUCUCGGAUGGAUCUGAGAACGGCAUAUCGAGACCGG
rnacentral:rRNA from 1 species